rnacentral:lncRNA from 1 species
AAGAACCAUGCUCUGUCCAAGGCAUGGGGAACAACUUGUAGGUCCCCCCAUUUUCAAAUCAGUUUAGUUAAUGAAAUCAUCAUUUCACAUUCAAAUUGUGUUCCCUAUUUUUCAUUAAUCUUUAUUUUAUAAAAAAAAUGGCGAUGUUUUCUUUUCUCUUUUUUAAGUUUUCAUCAUUUUUUUCUCCACUCUCAUAAAAAUAAAAGCAUGAAUCAUGGAUCCUGCAAAUCCUCCUCGAUUUCCAUCAAUAACGAUAUUGCUAUGAUCCCUAUGACUUUGACAAUCCUAUAUAUCACGCCGAUGAAGACUGCGAAGAAGAUUGUGAACUCCCCAAGGAGUUGGCUCGACUACUACUGCAAACAUCAAAG